UACGAAGGGGGCGAGCGUUGUUCGGAUUUACUGGGCGUAAAGGGCGCGUAGGCGGCCCUCUUUGUCGCGUGUGAAAGCCCCGGGCUCAACCUGGGAAUUGCGCGCGAAACGGGGGGGCUGGAGUUCGGGAGAGGAGCGUGGAAUUCCCAGUGUAGAGGUGAAAUUCGUAGAUAUUGGGAAGAACACCGGUGGCGAAGGCGGCGCUCUGGACCGAGACUGACGCUGAGGCGCGAAAGCGUGGGGAGCAAACAGG
rnacentral:rRNA from 1 species